ACAUCUCAACUCCUCACGGUUUGCCCGUGAUGAGCUUGGACUUUGGGGGUCUUGCCGGCCUGCGGGUCGGCUCCUCUCAAAUGAAUCAGCUUGCCGGUGUUUGGUGGCGUCACAGGUGUGAUAACUAUCUACGCUUGUGGUUUUCCGCCAGGUAGCCUCCAGCAAUGGGGGUUCACUGGAGCUCACAAACGUCUCGCCUCGGUGAGGACAGCUCUUUGAAC
rnacentral:misc_RNA from 1 species